rnacentral:rRNA from 1 species
GACGAACGCUGGCGGCGUGCCUAAUACAUGCAAGUUGAGCGCUGAAGGUUGGUACUUGUACCGACUGGAUGAGCAGCGAACGGGUGAGUAACGCGUGGGGAAUCUGCCUUUGAGCGGGGGACAACAUUUGGAAACGAAUGCUAAUACCGCAUAAAAACUUUAAACACAAGUUUUAAGUUUGAAAGAUGCAAUUGCAUCACUCAAAGAUGAUCCCGCGUUGUAUUAGCUAGUUGGUGAGGUAAAGGCUCACCAAGGCGAUGAUACAUAGCCGACCUGAGAGGGUGAUCGGCCACAUUGGGACUGAGACACGGCCCAAACUCCUACGGGAGGCCGCAGUAGGGAAUCUUCGGCAAUGGACGAAAGUCUGACCGAGCAACGCCGCGUGAGUGAAGAAGGUUUUCGGAUCGUAAAACUCUGUUGGUAGAGAAGAACGUUGGUGAGAGUGGAAAGCUCAUCAAGUGACGGUAACUACCCAGAAAGGGACGGCUAACUACGUG